CGGGUCCCUAGACCCUGCACUAUUCCAUGGGAUUGGGGAACUGUUUUCUCCCUCACUUCUGGCAGGUCGGAUUCUUUAAAUUUCUUAACUCAGCUCGCCCAGGGAACGCCUUCCUUGGUCCUGGUACCGGCACCCUGCUGCACACUCUGGACACAUCCACGACGAAUCAAAUCUACCCUGCGUCUGCCUAGGAGAAAGUUACUCAAAUUGUAUUCAUCUUUCAUUCCGAUCGCUCAACGAGGGCACGUCCCUCGUUGGCUGCUGCGUGAGCAAAGCAACUAUUUUCCAGCGAGUGUCCUCAG
rnacentral:lncRNA from 1 species